rnacentral:rRNA from 1 species
AGAGGUGCCAAGCGUUAGGCGGAAUCACUGGGCUUAAAGCGCGCGUAGGCGGAUGUUUAAGUGUCUUGUGAAAUCCCACGGCUCAACCGUGGAACUGCUGGGCAUACUGGACAUCUCGAGGCACUCAGGGGCGAGCGGAACAAGUGGUGGAGCGGUGAAAUGCGUAGAUAUCACUUGGAACGCCAAUGGUGAAGACAGCUCGCUGGGGGUGUCCUGACGCUGAGGCGCGAAAGCCAGGGGAGCGAACGGGAUUAGAUACCCCGGUAGUCCUGGCCCUAAACGAUGUCCACUAGAUCAUGGCGGCUCUGACGUCGUCAUGGUCGGAGCAAAAGUGUUAAGUGGACCGCCUGGGAAGUACGGUCGCAAGGCUA